CUUUCUUUGAUUCCAAUUCCAGAACACAAGAUCAAUUUUUAUUUUAUUUAUUUUAUUAGUUAUAUCUUAUCUAUCUAUUUAUAUAUCUAGCAAAUAACUAUUUCAUGUACUAAAUAUUUCCAUUCAUAUUGAUACAUACGAUAUUUUUGUUCCGACAAUGUGAUGGAGAAUGGAUGCGAGAAGGAUACUUUCAUUUCUAGUCUCCUAUUAUUUAUUUAAUUAAAUACAAUAUAUUAAUAAAAUAAUAGAAAAUUUUUUAAAAUAAAAGAGUAAAAUAUAUGGUAUUAGAAGAAUACAUAAAAAUAUUUAUCAAUCUCCCCCCUUCAACGGAAUUCAAGACUAAGAUUAGUUGAAAGUUUAAUUUUGUGAAUAAAGUUAUAAAAAAAAAAAAAAAAAGUUCUUAUUAUUACUUUAUUUAUAAUUUAAAUUUAAAUAUUCUAUAUAUAUACAUGUAUUAGUUAUGUGCAUAUAUUAGUUUAGUCAACUCCAGAGUUGACUGAUGAAUCUGUUGAUUCAAAAGUGCGAUAUGGGUAAAUGUCACAAAUGAUGAAUUGAUUUCUUACUUAUGUUACUAUAUCCUCUCAGUCGCCGCCAUCACAGAUCAGAUUGUCUCUUUUUUAUUUCUUUUCUUUUUUUUUUCUUUUCCCCCUUCGAAUCUCUAGCUAACUCUAUCUGUCUGCAAUUCGCAGAUUCAGCACAGCAGAUCGCAGCCACCUCUUCAUUUUAUGUAGUUGUCUUUCUCUCUGUCAGGAAAUUUGGAGCAGGUUGCAGCUUCCAGCAUCAGUUCUGCCACUCUUUGAGAUAUUAUGAGUUCAUCCACACCUAUCAAGUCUGCUCCAGCUACUUUUCAAUUUUAGGAGGAAUUUAAUAACGUUGGAUUGAAUUUGGGUUGUAAUUUAUUUUGGAACUUAUUUUGCUGAAGUUUGAUUAUUUUGGGUUGUAAUUUAUAUGUUGUUGAAGUUAGAUUGAAUUUGGAUUGUAUUUUUGUUGAAGUUGGAUUCAUUUUGAUGUGUUAAAAGCUUGAUGGAAGCUCAAA